UCUCGGGACUGAAAGGUGCCGCAGUGGAAAGAAGCUUCUGCUUGCUUCUCUGGUUGCUUCCGAAAGGAUCGAGCUGAUGUUUAAGAAGAGAGAAAGAGAGACAGACAGACGCAGGACGCUCAGGGCAGUAGCUCACUUUGCAUACAAUAAAGCAAAGGCUGGAUUAACACGCCCUUCCGGUCACGUUAGUUGAAUUUUUUGCUCAGGAAUCAUGCUGUCUGCAGUUCCACACAAGGACGUGAUCAGAGAUACCAGCUCUUGUGAAGCAGCUGCCAGCUGCCGACACGGUUUCCGUAGUCAUCGCACCAAGGAUGAUGUGAGUUCUUCGGGAGGGCGGUGGAGGAGUUAGGAUGUGCUAGGGUGAUUGAGCACACCGCACUGUGCGCCAGCGCGCGGGAUGCGUGUGUGCACUGUGCAUGGAGCAGUGACGGUCUCUUCAAGCAUCCCGAAAAGUACCUUUGGGCCCAACACUUGCAGUUGCCUUCCUGACGCACAGAGCACAGACACGGAGCCCAGUGUCAGGAGGUCAAAGAUAC
rnacentral:lncRNA from 1 species